UAAAGAUUCAUCGGCUGCGGAUGGCCAUGCGGCGCAUUAGCUAGUCGGCGGGGUAACGGCCCACCGAGGCGACGAUGCGUAGGGGUUCUGAGAGGAAGGUCCCCCACACUGGUACUGAGACACGGACCAGACUCCUACGGGAGGCAGCAGUGAGGAAUAUUGGUCAAUGGCCGGGAGGCUGAACCAGCCAAGUCGCGUGAGGGAAGACGGCCCUACGGGUUGUAAACCUCUUUUGUCAGGGAGCAGGGUGCAGGUCGGGACCUGCUGUGAGAGUACCUGAAGAAAAAGCAUCGGCUAACUCCGUGCCAGCAGCCGCGGUAAUACGGAGGAUGCGAGCGUUAUCCGGAUUUAUUGGGUUUAAAGGGUGCGCAGGCGGAGGCACAAGUCAGCGGUAAAAUCGCGGGGCUCAACCCCGCUCCGCCGUUGAAACUGUGUCCCUUGAGUGCGCGAAGGGUAGGCGGAAUGCGUGGUGUAGCGGUGAAAUGCAUAGAUAUCACGCAGAACUCCGAUCGCGAAGGCAGCCUACCGGCGCGCGACUGACGCUCAUGCACGAAAGCGUGGGUAUCGAACAGGAUUAGAUACCCUGGUAGUCCACGCAGUAAACGAUGAAUGCUAUCUGUCCGGCCGGAAUGACGGCUGG
rnacentral:rRNA from 1 species